rnacentral:rRNA from 1 species
UACGUAGGGACCAAGCGUUGUUCGGAUUUACUGGGCGUAAAGGGCGCGUAGGCGGCGCGGUAAGUCACUUGUGAAAUCUCUGAGCUUAACUCAGAACGGCCAAGUGAUACUGCAGUGCUAGAGUGUGGAAGGGGCAAUCGGAAUUCUUGGUGUAGCGGUGAAAUGCGUAGAUAUCAAGAGGAACACCUGAGGUGAAGACGGGUUGCUGGGCCAACACUGACGUGAUGCGCGAAAGCCAGGGGAGCAAACGGG